UAGUGGUUACGCACGAUUGCGUCGGCGG
rnacentral:sRNA from 1 species